CCUACGGGAGGCAGCAGUGGGGAAUUUUGGACAAUGGGGGCAAGCCUGAUCCAGCAAUGCCGCGUGAGUGAAGAAGGCCUUCGGGUUGUAAAGCUCUUUUGUCCGGGAAGAAAAACCCCCUCUAACACAGNCGGCGAAUGACGGUACCUGCAGAAGAAGCACCGGCUAACUCCGUGCCAGCAGCCGCGGUAAU
rnacentral:rRNA from 1 species